GAUGAACGCUGGCGGCGUGCCUAAUACAUGCAAGUCGAGCGAACGGACGAGAAGCUUGCUUCUCUGAUGUUAGCGGCGGACGGGUGAGUAACACGUGGAUAACCUACCUAUAAGACUGGGAUAACUUCGGGAAACCGGAGCUAAUACCGGAUGAUAUUUUGAACCGCAUGGUUCAAAAGUGAAAGACGGUCUUGCUGUCACUUAUAGAUGGAUCCGCGCUGCAUUAGCUAGUUGGUAAGGUAACGGCUUACCAAGGCAACGAUGCAUAGCCGACCUGAGAGGGUGAUCGGCCACACUGGAACUGAGACACGGUCCAGACUCCUACGGGAGGCAGCAGUAGGGAAUCUUCCACAAUGGGCGAAGGCCUGACGGAGCAACGCCGCGUGAGUGAUGAAGGUCUUCGGAUCGUAAAACUCUGUUAUUAGGGAAGAACAUAUGUGUAAGUAACUGUGCACAUCUUGACGGUACCUAAUCAGAAAGCCACGGAUAACUACGUG
rnacentral:rRNA from 1 species